CAGUAGCCGCGGUAAUACGGAGGGUGCAAGCGUUAAUCGGAAUUACUGGGCGUAAAGCGCACGCAGGCGGUCUGUCAAGUCAGAUGUGAAAUCCCCGGGCUUAACCUGGGAACUGCAUUUGAAACUGGCAGGCUAGAGUCUUGUAGAGGGGGGUAGAAUUCCAGGUGUAGCGGUGAAAUGCGUAGAGAUCUGGAGGAAUACCGGUGGCGAAGGCGGCCCCCUGGACAAAGACUGACGCUUAGGUGCGAAAGCGUGGGGAGCAAACAGGAUUAGAUACCCGGGUAGUCCCUGUCUCUUAUAC
rnacentral:rRNA from 1 species